UACAGUGGGUGCAAACGUUGCUCGGAAUCAUUGGGCGUAAAGCGCACGUAGGCGGUCUGUUAUGUCGGAUGUGAAAGCCCUUGGCUCAACCCCGGAAGUGCACAUGAUACUGGGAAGCUUGAGUACUGAAGAGGAGAGCGGAAUUCUCGGUGUAGAGGUGAAAUUCGUAGAUAUCGGGAGGAACACCAGUGGCGAAGGCGGCUCUCUGGGCAGAUACUGACGCUGAGACGCGAAAGCAUGGGGAGCAAACAGG
rnacentral:rRNA from 1 species